rnacentral:rRNA from 1 species
GACGAACCGAGCGAACGUUGUUCGGAAUCACUGGGCUUAAAGGGCGCGUAGGCGGGUGCUCAAGUCCGUGGUGAAAUCCUCCGGCUCAACCGGAGAACUGCCUCGGAUACUGGGUGCCUCGAGGGUGGUAGGGGUAUGCGGAACUAUCGGUGGAGCGGUGAAAUGCGUUGAUAUCGACCGGAACUCCGGUGGCGAAGGCGAGGUGCUGGGUCCUUUCUGACGCUGAUGCGCGAAAGCCAGGGGAGCAAACGGG